GAGUUUGAUCAUGGCUCAGAUUGAACGCUGGCGGCAUGCCUUACACAUGCAAGUCGAACGGCAGCAUGAUCUAGCUUGCUAGAUUGAUGGCGAGUGGCGAACGGGUGAGUAAUACAUCGGAACGUGCCCUGUAGUGGGGGAUAACUAGUCGAAAGAUUAGCUAAUACCGCAUACGACCUGAGGGUGAAAGUGGGGGACCGCAAGGCCUCAUGCUAUAGGAGCGGCCGAUGUCUGAUUAGCUAGUUGGUGGGUAAAGGCCCACCAAGGCGACGAUCAGUAGCUGGUCUGAGAGGACGAUCAGCCACACUGGGACUGAGACACGGCCCAGACUCCUACGGGAGGCAGCAGUGGGGAAUUUUGGACAAUGGGGGCAACCCUGAUCCAGCAAUGCCGCGUGUGUGAAGAAGGCCUUCGGUUGUAAGGUACACUUUGUUCCGGUAAGAAAUACGACACUUACUAAUAUUAGUGU
rnacentral:rRNA from 1 species